rnacentral:rRNA from 1 species
UACGAAGGGGGCUAGCGUUGCUCGGAUUGACUGGGCGUAAAGGGCGCGUAGGCGGCUUGUCGCGUCGGAUGUGAAAGCCCGGGGCUUAACUCCGGGUCUGCAUUCGAUACGGGCAGGCUAGAGUUCGGUAGGGGGAGAUCGGAAUUCCUGGUGUAGCGGUGAAAUGCGCAGAUAUCAGGAGGAACACCGGUGGCGAAGGCGGAUCUCUGGGCCGAUACUGACGCUGAGGAGCGAAAGCGUGGGGGAGCGAACCGG